UUAAAAAUUACUCAAUUACCAAGUCGUGCACAUCCAUUAACUCAAUUAAUGGUCUAAUUACAUAUAAGGACCUCCCAUUUAAAUUUCUAUAGCUAUUUAAUACUUUUAGCUAAUAGAACACAACUUUUGCAUUUUACGCGAUUUAGCCUUUUUUCAUAGUUUGAGCAUGCAAACGAUAAAAUUUCUCAACGAAAUUUUUAUACUGCUAUAUUAUCGUGCUGUAGAUAUUAAAAUAAUAUUAAAAUAAAUUUUUGACAUUAGAUUUGUGGUCCAAAAAAUACUAUUCUGAUUUCACUGAAAACGGGCCGUUACAACUCUCCCCCUUUAGGAAUUUUCGUCCCCGAAAAUCUUACUAGAAAAUAGGUCAGGAUAUUGUAUUAUUCUCAUAGCUUUCUCGAGUUCCCAAAUAGCCUUCUCAAUCCCAUGACGAUGCCAAAUAACUUUCACCAAGGCUAUUUUUUUGUUUCUUAAUUCUUUGAUCUCUCGUGCCAUAAUUCUGAUUGGUUCUUCAUUAUACGACAUGUCAGGCUGAAUCUCAACCUUUUUCAGAGAAAUUAUAUGCGAAGGAUUAGGUCCGUACCGUCGUAACAUAGACACAUGAAACACAUUACGAAUAUUUUCC
rnacentral:lncRNA from 1 species